rnacentral:rRNA from 1 species
AUUGAACGCUGGCGGCAGGCCUAACACAUGCAAGUCGAGCGGAUGAAGGGAGCUUGCUCCUGGAUUCAGCGGCGGACGGGUGAGUAAUGCCUAGGAAUCUGCCUGGUAGUGGGGGAUAACGUCCGGAAACGGGCGCUAAUACCGCAUACGUCCUGAGGGAGAAAGUGGGGGAUCUUCGGACCUCACGCUAUCAGAUGAGCCUAGGUCGGAUUAGCUAGUUGGUGGGGUAAAGGCCUACCAAGGCGACGAUCCGUAACUGGUCUGAGAGGAUGAUCAGUCACACUGGAACGAGGACACGGUCCAGACUCCUACGGGAGGCAGCAGUGGGGAAUAUUGGACAAUGGGCGAAAGCCUGAUCCAGCCAUGCCGCGUGUGUGAAGAAGGUCUUCGGAUUGUAAAGCACUUUAAGUUGGGAGGAAGGGCAGUAAGUUAAUACCUUGCUGUUUUGACGUUACCAACAGAAUAAGCACCGGCUAACUUCGUG